rnacentral:rRNA from 1 species
GAUGAACGCUGGCGGCGUGCCUAAUACAUGCAAGUCGAGCGAACAGAUAAGGAGCUUGCUCCUUUGACGUUAGCGGCGGACGGGUGAGUAACACGUGGGUAACCUACCUAUAAGACUGGGAUAACUUCGGGAAACCGGAGCUAAUACCGGAUAACAUUUGGAACCGCAUGGUUCUAAAGUGAAAGAUGGUUUUGCUAUCACUUAUAGAUGGACCCGCGCCGUAUUAGCUAGUUGGUAAGGUAACGGCUUACCAAGGCAACGAUACGUAGCCGACCUGAGAGGGUGAUCGGCCACACUGGAACUGAGACACGGUCCAGACUCCUACGGGAGGCAGCAGUAGGGAAUCUUCCGCAAUGGGCGAAAGCCUGACGGAGCAACGCCGCGUGAGUGAUGAAGGGUUUCGGCUCGUAAAACCCUGUUAUUAGGGAAGAACAAAUGUGUAAGUAACUGUGCACGUCUUGACGGUACCUAAUCAGAAAGCCACGGCUAACUACGUG